UACAGAGGGUGCGAGCGUUAAUCGGAAUUACUGGGCGUAAAGCGCGCGUAGGCGGCUUUGCAAGUCGGGUGUGAAAUCCCCAGGCUUAACCUGGGAACUGCAUUCGAGACUGCAUUGCUAGAGUAUGGGAGAGGGAAGUGGAAUUUCCGGUGUAGCGGUGAAAUGCGUAGAUAUCUGGAGGAACACCGGUGGCGAAGGCGGCAUCCUGGACCGGUAUUGACGCUGAGGCGCGAAAGCCAGGGGAGCAAACGGG
rnacentral:rRNA from 1 species